CAUUUCACUAUAAUAUCAAUAGUAAUUGAUAAUAAUAAUAGACCACCACAGAGCGGGUACUAUCUGGGUGGUGGUGGAUCAGACACAGCAAUGUUGCUGGACUGAGAAUAACCCACCAACCAAGGAUAUCCAGCUAACAGUGUCCUGUAGGAUGACCAACACUGAGUGGACAGUGAGUGGACACAGUGUUUAAAAACUCCAGCAGCUCUGCUGUGUCUGAUCCACUCAGACCAGCACAACACACACUAAUAAACCACCACCACGUCAGUGUUACUGCAGUGCUGAGAAUGACCCACCACCCAAACAGUACCUGCUCUGUGAGGGUCCAUGGGGGUCCUGACCACUGAAGAACAGGGUAACAGAGUAUCAGAGAAACAGAUGGACUACAGUCUGUAACUGUAGAACUACAGAGAGCAGCUAUACAGUAAGUGGAGCUGAUAAAGUGGACAGUGAGUGUAGAAACAAGCCUGAUCGGUUUAUAUUUUCAUAAGGUUUUAACCCUUUUGAGCCAUCAGGAUCGUUAAGCUGUAUUGGAAAUGCUCAGGUGGUUUGUUGCACUCCUGUAAACCUGUAAUAAAUACAGUGGGAAAGUUGAUGUAUGGUAGCCUAAUGGCUUAUUUAUUAAUGUAUUGUAAUAAUAAAAGAACUGUUUUAACAAUAAAUGAUUGAAUCCCUUUAUUAGCUAGGUUAGCUUCUUACGUCCAGUGCAAAGAUAACGAAGCAAACUUCAGACGCCAAACGCCAGUGAUCCUGGAAAAUGAGGUAGAUUUGAUUUCUUUUUUGUUAUAAGCGUAGAAAAGUCAUAACCGCAGAUGAGUCUUUUGCAGAAUGUUCCCAUCGUUAGCUCUCGUGACUCAAAUUCAGUGAGAACAGCCAACGAGGAAUGAAAGCGAAUGGUACUCAGCAUUUUCCCAACUCGGAAAAUCAAGUGAAGCUCACCUUCUGACCUCAACAAGAAAACGAGAGCACAUCACCCCUGCGCUGGCCUCCCCGCACUGGCCUCCCCGCACUGGCCUCCCCGCACUGGCCUCCCCGCACUGGUCUCCCCGCACUGGCCUCCCCGCACUGGCCUCCCCGCACUUGUCUCCCCGCACUGGCCUCCCUGCACUUGUCUCCCUGCACUGGCCUCCCUGCGCUGGCCUCCCUGCGCUGGUCUCCGUCCACUGGUCUCCCUGCACUGGCCUCCCUGCACUGGCCUCCCCGCACUGGCCUCCCCGCACUGGCCUACCCGCACUGGCCUCCCUGCACUGGCCUCCCUGCACUGGUCUCCCAGUUGCUUUUAGAAUUCAUGUUAAAAUUUGAAUGAUUGUUUUUAAAUGUUUAAACUGUUUGGCACCGGCAUAUUUGACAGAACUGCUGCAGCCUUAUUGUCCAACCAGAGCUCUAAGGUCUGCUGAUCAGCUCCUCCUACCUGUUCCCAAAUCUCGGCUCGUGUCUAGAGGAGACUUCUUCUCGGUAGCGGCUCCAAAACUCUGGAACAGCCUGCCUGUAGAUGUGUGAUCAGCCGAGUCUCUAGAACAGUUUAAAGCUGGUCUAAAAACACAUUUCACCCAAAUAAAUUUUCCAUUUCUCUUUUUAUUCCAUGUGCAAUUUUUUUUCUGAAUUGUUUUUAAUUACUAUUUUUACAUUAGUCUGUAUUUAUUGUGUGAGUUUAUUGUUUUGUAUUUUAUUUAUAUUAUUCAAUAUUAUCAUUGCACUUUGUACAGCACUUUGGCCAACUGACGUUGUUUUUAAAUGCGCUUUAUAAAUAAAUUUGACAUUGACAUUGACAAGUGAAACACCACAUACACUCUAGUGAGCACACACACACACACACACACUAGGGGGCAGUGAGCACACUUAUCCGCAG
ensembl:lncRNA